GGUAUAGCUCAGUAGUAGAGCAUUUGUCUAGUGUACAGGUAUAGCUCUGGGUUCCAUUCCCAGCACC
rnacentral:tRNA from 1 species